UGUUCAUCUUCUUUCGGUUUCUUUUCCUUAUCUUUACUACGGGAUGGAAUUUACAACAGCAUUUCUCAAACCAUCUGUGAUGAGGACUGCAUGGUGUUGCCUCAAGAGUGAAUUCUGUCCUAAAGAGGAUUCAGGUUAGGGAGAGUCUGAGAAGACACCAUCAUCUCUGGGACACAAUGGGCACAACGAGCAAGUGCAUUUCCAACAAAGCCCAUUUUGAAG